rnacentral:lncRNA from 1 species
CUUUGAGGAAUGCCCUUGCUUCAGCCAAUCGGAAUCGAGUAUUCAACAAUGCUUUGGCAUAAUUCAAGGACGUUCAUAUUCACUUCAGUUGUCUGCCGAUGGUUCACUGACGUUUUUUCAAAGGAGAUAUUAGUAUUACCUAUAAAUAGCCUACAACAAUAAGCUACACAUCAUGUCAGACAACAGCAAGAGCGUGAAAUGGGAGGAUUCCCCGGAUGAUCAAAAUAAAGUUGUGGAGAAUAUGAAGGAUGAAACAGAGACACAUGAGAACAACAAGAACAGGACUGGAGGCAAGGCUAAACGUAAGUCCAGUGGCAGUGCCAAGAAGACUUCCGUGGAGGAGGACAGCAGCAUUGGUGCAGAGUCUUCUCAGACACCCGGGUGUGGUUUCCGGGAAAGGGGAUCUAUCAUUGAGCAGCUGGAGAAGGAGGCUCAGAGGACUCUAAUGCCUUCUCUCAAGAUUGGGACAUGCUGUGCCCCAAUCCUCCUCUCCUUCCUGAGGAGUCUAACUGAUGAGCAAGUCCCAUGUCUUUCUCCAACCUCACAUACAACAACUCUGAAUUUAUAGUCAUAGUGCACCUUCUAACCACAAAUGCGAUUUCAAACACUACACCUAACCCUAAC